rnacentral:lncRNA from 1 species
GAAAAUUUUAAAUGAUAUACCAUGAUCAGGGGAUUGGGGUAUAAUAAAUGUAGGUAGUCUUAUGGUAGAAGAAAUCUUUAAAUAGUGGUAGUAAACGUUUUAAAUUGUAUUGAUUGAAGUGAUUGUAAUGUACUAAACAUUUGAUUUGUUCUUUGUCCCUAACUCUGAUGCAUGAGGGGAGAGGAGAAUGAAAGGAGUCUGACGUUGGAGCGCCCAUGAGACAGAUAAGAAGAUAAAUGGCUGUGCUGCAACAAGAGAGGGCUUGCGGAUGAGAGGCUCACCAGGUCCUGCUCCCAUUUGACAGGCCAGUACAGUUUUGUCUACAAACUCUUCUCCUAUGUGUCUGCUGCUACUUAGUUGUACAUACACACAUUAAUAGUGGGAACACAUUUAGUUGGGUGUAUAUAUUUGUUAGUGCUAGACAAUAAGAGCAGUAGUUUUGUUGGUAAAAAGAAAGGCUUGGC